rnacentral:tRNA from 1 species
GCUCCAGUGGUGUAACAGGAUAGCAUACGAGUCUUCGAAACUUGUGGUUAGAGUUCAAAUCUCUACUGGAGCA